GCCUUCUCCCUGGUCUCCUCCCAAGGCAGCUAGGCUCUUCUCCCCUCUUUCGGAAAGGCCGUGGCCCAACAGGUCCUCUUGGCCUGAUUUUAGGCCUGCUUUCCCAGUAAAAACACUUCAUCUGUUCUCCACAAAUCCUAAUUUAAAGUCUCCUCCUUGGACUCUUACUGAUGUAAACAUCCCAUUUUCAUUAUUUUCCAGAUAUUAUUCUUCCAUAAAUUGAUCCAGACUACCAUAGGAACCAGUCAAGAUAUUUUGCCACAGGAUCUAGGACAAGAGGAUUUACCUACUAUUGCCCACCUUGCAAAUCUCCUAGGGACCUUUCACCUGCUUCUGCUACUGCAAAUGAUUGGACAUCCAUUUACAUUUCCUCUUCUUCAUGUGUGGAAGGAAACUUUUGUUCACUGUGCUUCAGGCUGCCCCUGGCCUGAAAGUGGGUCCUUGAAUUCCCCUUGUACCAUUCCAACUUGCCAAGGUGGUUAUGAGACCUGAGGGAGGUGUUUAGGCGUGGACUUUGGGCCAGGUGUGUAAAUCCAUUUGGUACCAACUUUGGGCCCCAAGGAUAAGGGCAUGUGUAGCUGCACCAGAAGAGAGGGGAACAGUGAAAACUAAAAUUUCACCCUCUGUGAUGAUCUUCACCACCACCAGUACCAACAAUGUUGUAAGUACAGAGGAUUCACCUACCCAGUCGUUUUUCCUCUCCAUCCGGGCCCUCUGCAAGAGUGAGCCAGUGCUCAGAGAUGGUGGAGGGUAUGGCUGGUGACUCAGUCUCAACUGUGUCUCAACUGUGUCCAAAGUGUCUAGGGAGAAGUCUGCUCACCGGUAGCUAUAUCCUCUCUGGGAAGGCACAGUGCCCUAAAGUGGUGAGGCUGUAGGCCUGUGGGAACUGGGGCCUCCUGCCCCUCUUUUUAUUUUUAUUUAAUACUCACAAACUUCUCUUCAUUCCCCCCCUUUUUUUCCCUUACAGUUUCUGAAAGAAGGACGGAAGUAACACCAAGAACUCCCAGAUGAAGAGGACCUUCCUGGAUCUGUAACUGGGAUUAACCAGUUCUUUACUGGGAGAGAAAGUUUCAACUAAUCCUCAGGAUAAAAGCAAACAGGCCUGUGACUGUCCCUUGAACACUGACAGUGUAAACAAGCUUCUGGCUCCUCCAGGUCAAGCAGAGCAACACUUUUCAUUAGAAUGUUGGGUUUCUUCUUUGUUAUUCAAACAUACACCCACACACAUCCCCUUGUCCCUCCCUAAUGAACAAACCUCAACAGAUGGAGAGCCUAGGCU
rnacentral:lncRNA from 1 species